CAGCCGCCGCGGGAAUACGGAGGAUCCGAGCGUUAUCCGGAAUUAUUGGGUUUAAAGGGUGCGUAGGCGGAUAGAUAAGUCAGUGGUGAAAGACGGUGGCUCAACCAUCGCAGUGCCGUUGAUACUGUUUAUCUUGAAUAUGGAUGAGGUAGGCGGAAUGUGGCAAGUAGCGGUGAAAUGCAUAGAUAUGCCACAGAACACCGAUUGCGAAGGCAGCUUACCAAGGCAAAAUUGACGCUGAGGCACGAAAGCGUGGGGAUCGAACAGGAUUAGAUACCCGUGUAGUCCCUGUCUCUUAUAC
rnacentral:rRNA from 1 species